rnacentral:RNase_P_RNA from 1 species
CGAGCUGGCCGGGCAGUCGCUGUUUAUUCUGGUUGUUUGAUCAGAGUGAAGGGAGGAAAGUCCGGGCUCCAGAGGGUAGGGUGCCAGGUAAUGCCUGGGGGGCGAAAGCCUACGGAAAGUGCAGCAGAGAGUAGACCGCCUAAGCCAGUGUUCCUUUCAACGCUUGUUGUAAAGAAGUUGGCCGGUAAGGGUGAAAGGGUGCGGUAAGAGCGCACCGCAUGGCUGGUAACAGUCCAUGGCACGGUAAACCCCGCCUGGAGCAAGACCAAAUAGGAAUCCUAUAGGUGUGACCCGCACUGGAUUCGGGUAGGUUGCUUGAGGUGUCUGGUGACAGGCAUCCCAGAUGAAUGACUGCCCAGGCCUGCUUUGGCAGGCUGGACAGAACCCGGCUUACAGGCCGGCUCGCGAC